GGGACAAAGGAGGUAUCUGAGGCAUGUUGAGUGGGACUAGGGGCUAAACUAAAAACAAUGAUAACUAUCCUAAACAACAGUAUACAAGGCAUAUUGACAUUAGAGGGAGACAUAAAGCGAGGCAUAAAGCAUUCACAGGUGUUGAUUGGGAGAGCUAGCUAAGACAACAACGGAUGAGUGAUCAUAGCGAUGCAAGAUCCUGACAUGGGGAUGAAGAUGAGAAACCAGAGACUCCUCAUCACCGUUAUACCCCACGCCAUGACCGGUUUUCUAAAUGAAGUGUGAUAUUGAGCCAACUAGUGAAUAUCACAAUAGAUUAGCAGUCCAUCGCCUAAACCAUUCAGCCACCUCGUCCUGCGCCCAAGAGGUGGCUGUUUGCGACCGGUGGCCCGAGAUCUGCCUGUCUGAGCUUGUUAAAAG
rnacentral:lncRNA from 1 species